rnacentral:rRNA from 1 species
AUGGAAACUAGGGAAUGCCCACAAUACCCGAAUUUAGUGAGAUCCAAUUCGAGGGAUUUUGUAGGUUCAUUAAUCAAGCCUUGGCAGAAGAACUUGACAAGUUUCCAACAAUCUUUGAUAAGAAUAAAUCAUCUCAGGACUAAUGUAGGUUUUGACAAGAAUAAAUCAGGAAAUGAAAUCUUUUGUAAAGGGCUUGACCAAUUUCACUUUAGGAGGACUUUGUAUGGUGAUUCCUUGGAGUUGUGGAAACAUAUCAAGGAGGUUUGUGCUGGGAUGACCUUGACUGAUGAGAGAGAUACCAUUAAAUAG